GAGAGAAUAACAACACCUAGAGUCCAAGUCAAAACAUGGAAUGGGUUUUUUUUUUCUUUCAAGUUUUCAUCUGAUGAAAGUCCGGGAGGUGGCACCGAGCUUGUAAUGAAAAUGAAGUGGGGUCAUUUGAAUUUGUGCAGUUUUGAAUAAGAUGGGGGCAAUAGAGAAGCAACUGGGAAAAUUGACUAGCCUUUGGCAAGGAGAACAGAAGAAUCUGGAAUCCUUUUUUAAAAUCAUGAAAUUCCUGUGCCCCACCUGAGUCACUGUAACCUGUACCUGCUGAUGCCUCAUUUCUCCAUGCAUUUAUGAAAAGGCUGUGACUCCCUGCUGUUGUCGUGUGGUGCCAACAUCAUUCCAGCUUGCCAGUUGGAGACAAAAGAUAAGCAACCACAAAUGAAAACACAUUAUUGUCUGGAUCCAUUCUCACCUUCAUGGCCAGGAAUGUGAAGGUGAGCUGGUCCCCGCCCCUGCACUUCACUGGCAAGACCAAGGAGAGUGCAGUGGACGCUCUCCAAAAACAUUGCUUCCUACUACUGCUGCUUGUAAUGGAAGUAAGAGUCUGCUGAGAAUGCUCAUCUCAGGCUGAGCCAUGUGUUUCCCAUGGCAGCCUCUCUUGGCCCCUGUUCCUAACCAGGACAGAAAGAGAUCUCAGCCUGGGAUGGGCUGGAUCUUGCUCCUAGCACAAAGUGUACUCACUCAAGCCGUGUGAGAAGAAGACAAGGAAUGUCCUUUCAAGAAAUUGCCUAGAAUGCCAAUUGGGGGAGGAUGCAAGUAGGCUGGACCAUCCUGGCUGGCCCCACCCCAUGAAAGACCUUUCCUGACUAGAAAUGGGGCUCAGAUACGGGGCACAGUACUGGGCAGCCAGGUCUCUUUCCUCAGAACCAUCUCCUGACUCUGAUUCGUCACUUGCCCAGCCACCUUCUAUCGAUAGUCCAAUUCCUCAAAUCUAAUUCCUUCCACAAAGGGCAGUGGCCCCCACAUGCACGUCAUCUCCACAGAGUUACCAUAGAGUAACUACAAAUAAAAGGGAGUAGUGGCGAUUGCUAUUGAAGAAGAUGUUGGCUAAUGGGCUCUAAAGCAUGACUCAGUCUUCCCAAGCCUGUGUGCAGGGGAGGGUCUCUCUCCCAAGGGGAGCCCCCAGAAUAGAUGUUUACGGGAUUAUACCUGCUCUUCACAGAGGUAGAUUGGGAUGGAGCUGACAUCUUUUUUAUGUCAACAUUAACUUGAUUCCAUUGGUAUGCUAUGUGCAAGUGAACAAGAACCUCAGGCAAGGUCUCGAAGCUGCUUAAAUGACACUCACUACCUGUUAGAAUGCAUAAGGGCGCUGUUGUCACAGAGACUCUGCCUCUGUUCAGUGACAGCUGGCAGACCCAUCCAACUGGCUCACAUGUAGACUGGCUCCAGCCUGACCAUGGCAACCAAAAGGAAUGACAAAGUCGCUGCUGUUCGCUUGGCCCUUACUGCAGGAGACCAAGAGAGGGGCAAUUCUGACACUCCUCACCUCCAACCUACCUUUCUGGUACCAAGUGAAAACGGGCAGCCUGGAAGUUCCAUUCCUGGCUCUGUGUGCAGUGGCUGAUCACACUCAGAACUCAAAAUCCAAAUGUCUGCAUCUGAAGCCCUGCCUGAGGCCCACCAAGCCUGUGACUUUCAGAAAGUUCCCUGAUCUCUCUGAGGCUCUGUAAAAUGGAGGGUAAUGAUCCUUGCCUACCCUAAAAGACCACUGCAGGAAACAAAAAAAAAUAAUGUUUUUAUAAACAGGGAAGAGCUGCAGGAAUACAGAUUGUACACCAUCUCACAAAGAUCAUCACUGUUUAGACACACACACGUACUGAAACUGACAAGUUCCUUGGUGUAGUGUUAAAAUUCCAAUUGGAAAAUUUGCUAUGAAAACCUCCAUAAACAAGAUAUUACUAAAUAAUCAUAAGUAGUGGUAUGAAUGUUACUCCACAGCACCCAGGUGUGAAAUAAUGUUAUAUAUCUUUAUUUCUUUAAUCAUAUGAUCUAUUCUUUUUUUAUUAUUAUUAUACUUUAAGUUCUGGGGUACACAUGCACAACGUGCAGUUUGUUACAUAAGUGUACAUGUGCCAUGUUGGUUUGCUGCACCCAUCAACUCGUCAUUUACAUUAGGUAUUUCUCCUAAUGCUAUCCCUCCCCCAGCCCUCCACCCCUCAACAGGCCGCAGUGUGUGAUGUUCCCCUCCCUGUGUCCAUGUGUUCUCAUUGCUCAACUCCCACUUAUGAGUGAGAACGUGUGGUGUUUGGUUUUCUCUUCUUGUGUUACUUUGCUGAGAAUGAUGGUUUCCAGUUUCAUCCAUGUCCCUGCAAAGGACAUGAACUCAUCCUUUUUUAUGGCUGCAUAGUAUUCCAUGGUGCAUAUGUGCCACAUUUUCUUUAGCCAGUCUAUAAUUGAUGGGCAUUUGGGUUGGUUCCAAGUCAUUGCCAUUGUGAAUAAUGCUGCAAUAAACAUACAUGUGCAUGUGUCUUUAUAGUAG
rnacentral:lncRNA from 10 species